CUCUGAUAAGCCAACCUACUAGUGUAUACAUGGUACAACGUGGUAUAAGAGUGAUACUCGUUGGUAUAAGUGUGGUAUAACAUAGUAUAAGAGUGGUAUAACGUCAGGCGUAGUCCCAAUAGAAGCUAGCUAAGAGCGCUAGCGCGGUACCAGCGGGUCACUGCACCGGUCCUAGUAUCUGUAGCAAAUGACUCUAAUAAGCCAACCUACUAGUGUACACAGUGGUCUCCAUGGUAUAAGAGUGAUACUCCUUAGUAUAAGAGUGUUACAACGUGGUAUAAGAGUGAUACUCGUUGGUAUAAGUGUGGUACAACGUGAUAUAAGAGUGGUAUAACGGUACCGUCAGGCGUAGUGCCAACAGAAGCUAGCUAGGAGCCGGGAGCGCUAGCGCGGUACGAGCGGGUCACUGCGCCGGUUCUAGUAUCUGUAGCAAAUGACUCUAAUAAGCCAAGCUACUAGUGUACACAGUGGUCUCCAUGGUAUAAGAGUGAUACUCCUUAGUAUAAGAGUGUUACAACGUGGUAUAAGAGUGAUACUCGUUGGUAUAAGUGUGGUACAACGUGAUAUAAGAGUGGUAUAACGGUACCGUCAGGCGUAGUGCCAACAGAAGCUAGCUAGGAGUCGGGAGCGCUAGCGCGGUACGAGCGGGUCACUGCGCCGGUUCUAGUAUCUGUAGCAAAUGACUCUAAUAAGCCAACCUACUAGUGUACACAGUGGUCUCCAUGGUAUAAGAGUGAUACUCCUUAGUAUAAGAGUGUUACAACGUGGUAUAAGAUGCCAACAGAAGCUAGCUAGGAGCGCUAGCGCGGUACGAGCGGGUCACUGCGCCGGCUCUUCUUCUGCUG